rnacentral:misc_RNA from 1 species
GAUGAAGAACGUAGCGAGAUGCGAGAAUGUAUACGAAUUGCAGACACAUUGAGUAUCGGCCCUUCGAACGCACAUUGCGGCGCCGGGUUCGAUCCCGGCGCCUCGUCUGGCUGAGGGUUGACUAAAGCGGAAGAAGACGGUUAUUACCCGCGAAAGGCGGGAAUAACCGAGGAUCAGGCCGCUCUGAAGUUCGCAUAGGACCUAGAGCGGCGAGAUUACUGAUCGAGCAGAGGGCACCCAAGUGCACGAGCUAGAAAUUAAUGCAAGUAAGGCUCGAAUCUGCUACCCGAAAGAAUCAACCUCAGCUCAGGCGAGAACACCCGCUGAACUUAAGCAUAUCAAUAAGCGGAGGA